rnacentral:rRNA from 1 species
UACGUAGGUGGCAAGCGUUGUCCGGAUUUAUUGGGUUUAAAGGGUGCGUAGGCGGCCCUGUAAGUCAGUGCUGAAAUACCCCGGCUUAACCGGGGGGGUGGCAUUGAUACUGCAGGGCUUGAGUACAGAUGAGGUAGGCGGAAUUGACGGUGUAGCGGUGAAAUGCGCAGAUAUCAGGAAGAACACCGAUGGCGAAGGCAGCUCUCUGGGACGGUACUGACGCUGAGACGCGAAAGCGUGGGGAGCGAACAGG